GGUCCUGGGGACCCUCUUCCCGCCCCACCCAUGAGAUGCUAAAACCAGGGCGAAGUAAGGUCACCUCCUGCCUCCCCACUGGAUCCAGUCCCAGUGUGACAAGCUCAGCUCUGGCUGAGCCGGGUCAGUCCUGGGUGAAUGGUAUUCUCUCUCCCAUACACAGGUCUCUGCUAUCCCCAGCUCAGCCCUCAUCUGUGCAGAAACUGCACACCCUCAGAGUACAUUGCCUCCCUGCCUCUCUGCCUCUGGGGCUGCCUCCCUGCGUCCCUGCCC